UACGUAGGGUGCGAGCGUUGUCCGGAAUUAUUGGGCGUAAAGAGCUCGUAGGCGGUCUGUCGCGUCUGCUGUGAAAUCCCGAGGCUCAACCUCGGGCUUGCAGUGGGUACGGGCAGGCUAGAGUGCGGUAGGGGGAGAAUGGAACUCCUGGUGUAGCGGUGGAAUGCGCAGAUAUCAGGAAGAACACCGAUGGCGAAGGCAGUUCUCUGGGCCGUAACUGACGCUGAGGAGCGAAAAGCGUGGGGGAGCGAACAGG
rnacentral:rRNA from 1 species